CUUUCCCAACUGUGAAUUGAAAGGCGCCUUCUUCCUCGUCAUAUCUCGUUCCUUGUCUUCAUCGUCCUCCUAGCUCAGAUCAAUUGUCUUCAUCGUCCACCUAGCUCAGAUCAAGGGAUUAAAAUCUGUUCUCCGCGCAAUAUCCAAACACGUAGCCAUUGGACAGAGGUGCAAGAUACUCUCAAUCACAAAACCACUUCAAAAUCGGAGUCUAAAAUUAUUUGGGUUUGUUUGGAAUGUGGAAAUUUCUCCUGUGGAGGUGUGGAAUUCUGGAUCAGCAGUGUGACUAGUGGAAUAAAAGAGCACUCUUUGUCGAUUGGUUCACAUGGAAGUAACAAUUAUUCAGUUGAGGUAUUGUUAAUUUGGGAAAUACACAUUUCUUUAAUUCAAAUAUACAGAAUUUAUUGGCUAUAAAUAAAUUAUCGGAUUACUUUUUUUAAUUAGAUGAAUCUUAGAAUCUCUUAGUCCUCUUAUUGCUACUCCGAGAAAGCUUUUCCUUGAAACCAACCCAGAAGUUGUAUAAGAAGUGUGAUAAAUUCAAGAUCUUGGUAGUGUUCGUUCCAAGUCUCUACAAUUUAGGGGAUUUCAGUAGCACAACAGUCAUGAAUUUCUUCGAUGUUGGCUUGAUGGAUUGUACACUGAAGAAUUGAGUGCAAAAAAACACAUUAAUUCAUCUCAGGAUGAUGGGAAGUCUAACAACACAGAUUGCAUAUUUGUGGAUGCUAUAAUUGGUAGAAAAACGUUCUAGCAUAAUUAAUUGUUUGGAAUCUAGUACUGACUGCAGUUUACAACAUUUGAAUUCAACACCUUCCUCAGAUAAUGUGAUAAUGUUGGACACUCUUGGACAAGGUAUAUUAACCAGCAAGAGUAAUUUGGUCUCACAAUAUGAUGAGAAAUAUUUGCCUAGAUUUCAAGUAAUUAAGGUAGCUUUUUCGGAUGAUAUUGAAGCAGUAUAUGUUUUGGUCAACUGAAAGAAUGUAGAACUUGAGAGGAUUGGGCAUGAAAACGAUGCCUCCUGAAGCUAUCGACAGCAGCUGAAAAACAUUCCUUAAGGAAUAACUAAUAGCAACAUUAAAUUAUGAAUUUAUGACUUUGGAGUUUUUGUUUUAUGGGAAAUGUGUUUUAGGCCUUCUGCUUUUGCAUAUGGUGCUUGGUGGAAAUUAGCCAGAAGUUUGUGCCAAUGAGUUAUCAAGGCAGGACUACUUAAAAU
rnacentral:lncRNA from 1 species